CACCAAUGAGAGCAGAUGUGGGCUGCUGAGGGAUUGCUGGAGACACCAGAUGCUGAUGCCAGCCAGAGGAAAGACAGAGAGAUUUUGUCAUUGUCAGCAGUGGAGGCUCUGCCCGCUGACUUGCUAUGUGGCACUGGAUGAAUAAAUAAAGCCUAGAAGACUAACCAUGUUGCAGAUUAUGGAGAGAGGUUCCCAGAGGAAUAAGAGACCAAGCAGGAGAACAACAGUUUUAUGUACUGAAGAUGGCAGGAAGAUCCCUGUUCACUGGGCUUCCCCAAUUUCUAUGUUUAGCCUUUGCUAUUUGCACUGAUUUGUCUGUAAAUGCAGAUGAGUUCAUGUCAACAGCAGAGCCAGGAUGCUCUGGGGCAGUUUAAUCUCAGACCUACUUAGCUUAACAAACCAGAUGGAACCCCAUAAUGGGGAGAAUGCAGCAACGCACCAUGUCCCACGAUGGUAAAGAGAAUGACCUUUCAUUAGAGAAACAGACCGGGACGAGACAUUACGGCAACCAGUUUAAGUGCUACUAAUAGAGGGUCAUUUAUUUAGGUCUUCAAAUCUCACACCUAAAUUAACCCCAGUUGGCAAUAAUUGAUGCCUUUGCUGGCAAACUCAGCAUGAGCCAAGGACUGAAUGCGCCAUGGAGACUGAACUUCCCAAUUAACGAGCGCAUAGUCCAUCCAGGUCAGGUUUGAAGCCUAUUUCAUGCAAGAACGUUGGUUUGGGAAAGUUGUGCUGCUGUUCCAAGGAUAAUAAUGUUACCCCCCCGCUCCUUUUUUGACCUGAGUGGUUAGUCUAAGUUCUGGGCCCUGUGGGUUGUUUCUGUUUGGAGGAGAAAUUGAUGUAGUCAGGAGUCUGAUGCAACCCUAUUUAUUUACAAAGAAUGUACAAAAUCCUGUUUUCCUGAACACAAUGAAACAACAGGAUAUGGUUUCUUUGCCCACGGCUGCAAGCCUCUUUCAGCCAGCACUCUGCUCCAAAGCACACUCUCUCUGUUUUUUCUCAGGGGCACACUCCCAGUGCUUCUGGGGAAGGUCUGGUGCUUCCUCACUGCCUUCUCGCUAAGCUUUUCUCACCUUUCUGCUGUUUUUCUCAGAGACACCCAGACAAACUGUCCCAAUGUCCUAGCCCCUAUGUUUUCUGUAUCAGUCCCCAGGGAAACCCCUUGGAUCAGCUUCUACACAAGCCUUGCCAAGUGCUCGUAUUUUGGAUGUUGCGCCUAUUGUUUCAACUACCUGGUUACAUAUAGGAGCUUAAUGGCUUCUUACAACUAUCUUAAAUGAAGGACAGUGGUUCCCGCCCCUCAGUUGCAAAGAGGGUUGGGUUAAACCAUAACAAUAAACAGAGGGCUUCAGUCUGCAGGACAUGCAGAAUUCGUAACAACCAAGAGAAGGUGGUAGUGUGAAGAAUACAAAAUCCAUGACUGAGCACUAUGCUACCUGCAGAGCUAUCAAGCAAGGUCCUUUGAUGGAAUGUCACUGCUAUUGCAUAUGGCCCCAUGGCAGGGAGGAUACUUUCAAUGGCAGGACACACUGGUGCCA